AGGACGUUACUCAAAGAGACUGGGAGUAACCAUUGCAAGGAAUGACUCUUUCCAUUCAAAAUACCAAAGAGCAGAGAUAAACCCAACAUUCCAAAAGCUGUGAUUCUACUGAUGGGAAAUGGGACGGCUUGGCCCAUCUCUCAGACACUUCUCUGAGCCUUUCUGGCCCUCUGCGUUGACUCCAGAUACUUAAGAGAUAAAUGUAGCUGAGAACUCCUUUCCCUCCUUCCACUCAGUGAUCAUAACCAUUCAUUGUUUAACCAACAUGUAGUGACUGAGUGAAUAGAAACUUGUUGCCCGUUCAGUAGGCCAGGUAAUACUACAACCUGGGAGCAGAACAGUGACCAAGACAGCCCAAAUUCCUGCUCCCAAGGGGAAUGUAGUGAGUGGGAUUCCUCCUCAGAGAGUGAGAGUUGACACUGAGACAGUUUUGAUCUUGGAAGAGAAAAGGAAUUAUGACUUUUAACCUAGGCACAUUAAAAUUGCACAACAAAGGCAGUUGACCAAAUGCUCAUGUUUUGUUUUUCCUAAAAGAAUGUAAUUUUUAGCUCUGGAAAAGUACUCUUUAUAGCCUUGGCCAACUCGCAGGUAUUUUUAUCUUCCUAAUUUAGGCCAAGCAGGACACUAUGGUGGUGACCAAUAUCACUGAGAAGAGCUAAUUAGCCGGUGUUUAGUCUCUGUGGCAAUGGUACCUUUCCAUCACAACACUCCACAGGCCACCAACAGUGGUGACAGUGGGGACUCCUCAGGGGAGCCCUCUAAGCCAUCCUGUUUUGAUUUUUUUUUUAAUCUUAAUUUUAGAUUUUAAAAGUGGAAAGCUAGCCUAGACAUACCCAGUAAAUCUAGUCAAAGGAUAUAUGUGGUUAAAAACCUUAGAAAGAUUUUGCACUGGUUUUUGUUUAGUUCUGUUUUUUUGUUUUGUUUUUAAGCCAUCUUCGGAAUGUCAAUAAUUCUGUAGUGAAUUUCACAGAGAACUUCCCAAGAACGUCUUGCUGUUGGUCAGUUUCAAGUUCAAGCUUUUUGGUGUGUUUGCCUUUUCAGUCUUCAUGCUGUAGGGAAAAUCUGAUCUGGAUCUUCAGGGUUCUUAAUUAUUAUGUGUAAAUGAUUUCAUUUGAUUUGUUUGAUUAUUUUUAUUUUGUGUGUAUUGUGCACGGCUUUAGGGGGACAGGCACACUCGGUGCUGUUCCUGACAAUUGGUACACAUUAUUGACACAGAAAACAAAAACAAAAAUCAAUAAAGUUUCUAACUGUUUGUGAUUUCAUCACCAGUGGCACAGCAUGUUCUGUACUGUGGAAUGUCCCCUCUCCUCACUGUCACCUACUUCAUUUUCAGUUGUUUGUUUUCAUGCUCUGAAGAAAUAAAGACCAAAAAGGUAUCCUUGUGCAAUCUAUAUCCUUAUCCAUGGGAAAGGAGACAGCCACAAUCCAAACCCAUACACAUGUCAGCCCUUAGCUCAUGCUGUGCUUAAAUGGCCCACGAGCAGCACGUGGAGUCGGAAUGUUUGUCUGUUGUGUGAUGCUGUGAUAAGCAUUGGGUGUACCUUCUUUUCACCAUUUUUCCACCUUUUAAUUUAACUCUAUCUUCUUGCUUCCUGAACCCAAGCACAUGAACUCACAGGCUAUUACUUGUUAAACAACUUUCAUCACACAGCGCAUCAUAGUAAAUCAUGCCACCCAUUGCACUGGUUUUUUUUUCGAAGUAUAGUUACUUCCCAAGGGACAAACAAAUUGUUCACUUAGUAUCAUAUAUUGUAUUUCUUCUUAUUCCUAGAACAACUUCUUUAUGUUGAUAACUUCUGAUUCUAUGAAUUGUAUAAGUCACUGAUUUUCAUAUCUCAUGCAAUCAAAAGUACACAGAAAGAGGUGACACCAGACAUAGAAUAAGAAUUGUGGGGAGGAAUGCCCUCUUGCUCUGGUAGAAUCUGGACACUGGGUACAUGCAAAUCACUCUUGGUUCAUCUGAGCAUCUUAAAGUUUCCCAUAGGCCCUUUCAUCACAGCAUCAUGUUGGCAUGUGUGGCACACUUUCAAGGGAAAAAAAAUGAGGGACAACUCAAACACUCUUCUUGAAUCAAAGAAUUGACAUGUGUCCUGAAUAUUGAUCUUUAAUUUCAUAUAAAAUUGGCAGGCUGAAUUUGCUUCUUGAAUAAGAACCAAACUGAGUAUUAUAGUGAGGAUCCUUGACCACUUAGUAGACCUCAGCAAAAUUCUUGACUGAUUGAUUCUCAAGUGAUAGGAGCAAACAUUAAUUUGUUGAUGGAUUCUGAUUCGAUCCGUCCAACCAUGAAGAUUUCAGAGAACCUUCCUUGCUAUAGUAUAAUAUAUAUAGUUUGUGAAAUUUUGGUUGUCAUUGUCUUUCAAAUAUUAGAUUAACAUACAAUUAUACUGUUCAGAACAAGCCUGCAGAGAUGGAUAGGUGGCUUGCAACUGAUGAGGGACCCCUUCGCAGGAAGUGAUCUCAAAGCAAAUAGAAACGUGUUGUUUCUACUGUCAUUUGUAACCAGGCAUCCUCCACUAGAAACUCUAUGCUCACACAUUCCUGGUUUUAAUCUAAAAAAAUAAAUAAAUAAAGUGAGAGGAUCUAGCUUGCUCAUACAUCUGAGAGCUUUAUAGAAAAGAUGAGAGAAUUUUCUCUGGGAGAUGAUGAAACUCCUCUUUUCUAAAGCAGAUCAGCUUCAUUAAGACUUCUUUCAGUUUUUCUGAGUUCAAAAUGUGGAAUCUCUCUUGAUUUUGAUUUUCCUUUUCUGAUGUUUGGCAACUAUAACCAUAACAAGCCCUAGUUGUACUUUCAUGACUUUAGGAACAUUGAGCCAUUUCACCAUUGACAAUAUACAAUCCAUUCUAACUUACAAGUAGCAUCCAACAGUCCUUACAAUAAUCAUGUCUGUUGGCCAAGACAUUCUAAGCAUGUGACUAUUGGUUGAGGAAUUAGUGUCAUGACACAUAGAAGAAACCUGCAAAAUCACAUUUAUUAUACUGGGGAUAUGUGUUCUUGUGGAUAGAUUUGGAAUGUGUGCUUGUGCCUCCCUACAGAUUUUGUUUUAUAACUGAUUAGGGAUUUAGCUAUUCUUUUCAAACACUAUUAUUGUUGUAACUAUUAUUGUCAAACAUUCUAGCGUAUUUCAAAGGUUUGGGUUGAAUACUGCUGAUGGUACUUUAUCUCCAGGGAUACCCUGGGAAAGAAACACAUGUGAAAUAGUUAGGUGUUUCAUUUUUAAUAUUUAACCAUGGGUAACAAUCUCCCAAAGCAGAGAAUGUCCUUCCUGCAGAAGGGCAAAGCACUGAGGCGUAGAACUCCCAAGAGAGACAGAAUGUGCUUUCACUUUCCAGUCCGCAGGAAAUGGUAAGUACCCAGCUUGCUGUUCGCAGCCUGCCAAGGUGUCCAAAGAGAUGCACUCAGAGAACCUCUGGAUUUUCAGUGUCAUCGAAGGGUCUCUGAUUUCAUUGCCUCAAGGGGCAUUUAAGGAGAUGGGUUUGUAAAUCACUAUUUUUGAUAUACUCACUCUGAGGAAAGACCAUCACUUCUUAGUGUGUCCUUUCCUUUCCCUGUGGCCCAACCUUGUCAUUCUUUUCAUUGGCUACCCUUGGUCCAUCCAGUAGACUUCGUGAUGUGCCUGGUAUUGCCUCUCAGCAAUAGGGGAAAGCUCACUCUGUAAGGAAUUGCUUGGGAAUUUUUCUUGUAGAAGCAAACUUGUCAUAGAAAAAUCAAAUAUGUUGACAUUGCAGAGACAUUAGAGACCCUUGUGUUAUCGCUACAAAUAGAGACAGACUUUAGAAUAGUGUCAUCUCCACAAAUGCCUGAGGUAUAUGCUACCCUAGAGUUUUGUGCCACCUUAUGGAUUUUAUCUCUCUUGAGGUCAUAUUUAUCUUGUCCCCGUGUCCAAUCUCUAGCCUGUUCCAUCAAUAUGUGUAGGUACAGAGCGG
rnacentral:lncRNA from 1 species